UUGUGCGCGCUAUUUUUCAGAUUUUUCAAUGUUAUCACUUAAUAAACAUGUCUCUCUUAAUAAUUUACAUACAUUUACAUACUGUAGACAAAGUCUCGCACUCGCUGGCCCAUUGCGUGGGCGCUGACUUGGCCAUGGGCGCAGGCAUAGCUGUGAAGUUCAAGGAGGUCUACGGCAAGGUCGAUGAGCUGCGUGCCCAGAAGGCCAGUGGUGAUGUGGCUGUGCUCAAGGAUAAUGAUCGCUACAUUUACUAACUUUUUCUUUAAAUUUUUUUAAUUUUUUCGAAUGAGAAGCACUGUGGUGAAUACGUUACCUAUUAGUAAUUCUACCAUGGUCCUCUCCACAGCUGAAUACGUUACCUAUUAGUAAUUCCACCAUGAUUGCACGCAUAACAGCACUUUUUGUUUCUUUCUCUUUUCGCGCUUAACAGCUCAAUUUAUUUUGUUUUAUGUCAAAACAAACUAUUUCGGGCCAAAGAACCAUACAUUUUUCAUAUUUGCGAAUUCAGAAAAGCGGCACAAGGUGGUUCGUUAGCAAUGGACGAAAUGUGCAGAGUUUGCAAGGGAACGUCUAAAUCAUUCACAAACAUAUUCGACGAGCCACAAAAACGGGACACUUGCAUGAUAGCUCAGUGCACCGGGUACGAGGUUAGCCGAGGAGAUUUACUAUCAGAAAAUAUAUGUCCGCCCUGCCUUGAGGAGGCAGUGAGUGCAUUCAAUCUUAAGACAACCUGUGAGCAGAGCCAUAAAUUGAUGGAGGAGU